UAAAGGACCCAGGUCUUUUCCAUCUCUGUGCUCUGACAUCCCUGUUUGGGUUUUUAGGCUUCUAACGAGAUGGAUGCAGCGAUUCUGGGUGUCAUACCAGAAACAGCAAUAUCCAGGUGGAAAUAAGAGACCCCAGCUCUUGCUCAGAAGAAGGACACUUUCCCAAAGACUCCCUACCUACCCACACACUUCAUUUUGGCCAGCACUGAAUCCCACGCCUAAUGAUCUAUCAACUGAAAAAAAGAAUGGAUUCACCCUUAAACCAAACAAACCUUCUCCUGAGACACUUAGCUGUGUGAGAAAGAGGUGGCUACCUGAACAAAACUGAGGUCCUGGUUCUACUAGAAGAGGGAUAAAUGGAUGCUGGUUGAGCAACCAGUGAUGAUCACAACACCAGAUAAAUAGGAACCAAAGAAAAGUGGUUCCAGAACAGAGUUUGCCCUGGCUAAACAGCUGCUCUCUUUAUCCCUCGGGCUACCAAUGACAAAGAAGCCUGGACACAAGGGCUUGCUGAGAGCCUCCAAACCAGAAUGACCUCCCCAGGACCCUGAAUCUGCAAGAGCAACCUUUCUAAGUUUCACCUCCUGAAACUGAAUGACUUUGCAUCAUUCCCUGAAAGAGACCCCACAUUUGUGGGAUAACCAUUCUUCUCUGAUUCCAAACUGCUUCCAGAGCAAAUGUGCCCCAACAUGUCAUAUGAAGGAGGCUGCACAUUUUGACAUUUUGAUGUUAGUAUCAGCCUUAUUGAUGAAUAGUCCCAAGUUUGGAAGUAUUUUGAAAGCUGCCCUUGUCUGCCGCAGUAGGGAUGCGCAAACCUGAUUAGACUUUCAUAGUCCACAGUGAGCAUUAAUUUGUUCAGCGCUGUCUUCAGGUGGAACAUCUGCAUAAAUCUAGCUUUGUGAAUAUUUUUAAACUGAGAGAUUUUCCAUCUGUUUUGGAGUUAUAGCAGUCCACAUUAUCCUCACUUGAGCUCUUAAUGAUAUAUGUGUGAUGGAAACAAGACGUCUUAACGUACAUUCAUGGACACCAUGGAUCCCAGAGAGAAGCUGACAGAAACAGUCUGACCUCCAAUGUAUCAGUGAGGUCAACUGCUUGAUCUCUGGUGCCUAAGAUUAUUGCAGGGAAAUGUUUGAUGAGGAAAAGAAAGUAAUCAAAUUCCUGGAUGAGUUAUGCAAUAGGUCUGUUCCCCCCAAAACCUGUCAAUCUUUCAAAUAAACCCUUCUGAAUUUUGUGAUCUAUUUGUUGAGAUUGCUUUUC